AUUGAACGCUGGCGGCAGGCCUAACACAUGCAAGUCGAACGGCAGCACAGAAGAGCUUGCUCUUUGGGUGGCGAGUGGCGGACGGGUGAGUAAUGUCUGGGAAACCGCCCGAUGGAGGGGGAUAACUACUGGAAACGGUAGCUAAUACCGCAUAACGUCGCAAGACCAACGUGGGGGACCUUCGGGCCUCACACCAUCGGAGGUGCCCAGAUGGGAUUAGCUAGUAGGUGGGGUAAUGGCUCACCUAGGCGACGAUCCCUAGCUGGUCUGAGAGGAUGACCAGCCACACUGGAACUGAGACACGGUCCAGACUCCUACGGGAGGCAGCAGUGGGGAAUAUUGCACAAUGGGCGCAAGCCUGAUGCAGCCAUGCCGCGUGUAUGAAGAAGGCCUUCGGGUUGUAAAGUACUUUCAGCGGGGAGGAAGGCGGUGAGGUUAAUAACCUCGCCGAUUGACGUUACCCGCAGAAGAAGCACCGGCUAACUCCGUGCCAGCCGCCGCCGUAA
rnacentral:rRNA from 1 species